rnacentral:rRNA from 1 species
AUUGAACGCUGGCGGCAGGCCUAACACAUGCAAGUCGAGCGGAUGAAGGGAGCUUGCUCCUGGAGUCAGCGGCGGACGGGGGAGUAAUGCCUAGGAAUCUGCCUGGUAGUGGGGGAUAACGUCCGGAAACGGGCGCUAAUACCGCAUACGUCCUGAGGGAGAAAGUGGGGGAUCGUCGGACCUCACGCUAUCAGAUGAGCCUAGGUCGGAUUAGCUAGUUGGUGGGGUAAAGGCCUACCAAGGCGACGAUCCGUAACUGGUCUGAGAGGAUGAUCAGUCACACUGGAACUGAGACACGGUCCAGAGUCCUACGGGAGGCAGCAGUGGGGAAUAUUGGACAAUGGGCGGAAGCCUUAUACAGCCAUGGCGAGUGUGUGAAGAAGGUCUUCGGAUUGUAAAGCACUUUAAGUUGGGAGGAAGGGCAGUAAGUUAAUACCUUGCUGUUUUGACGUUACCAACAGAAUAAGCACCGGCUAACUUCGUG